AUUUUACCUAUAUUCGAUUUAAUUGUCUAUACUCAAUAAAUAGUAUCGUGCGGAGUCACCAUCUACGGCCACCUUGGUAUUUUGUCCACAGUUGUCGAAAUCAAUUUAUUAAAGACGUAACCGUGUAUACUCUAUACAGCUGGCCAAUAUUUCGUAGCCUUAAGAGAAAUAUACUGUAUGUGAUAUAAUUUUUACUUUUUCAAAAUUUCAUUUUCACCUUCUACGGCUAUCCUAUG